rnacentral:lncRNA from 1 species
GAUAACCACACCAACUACCAAGAAUCAGGAUGAACUCUGGGGAGAUGCAAUGAGGAGAAUUGCACUCCUUUCUCCUCACCUCUGUUCACUCAGGAAAACUUCUAGGUAGCUGCCCCAUCCAUGUCCCCUCUACAUUUUGUUGAACAUUCAAAUGAGCAUGGGCUGUAACUUGUGGAGAGACUGCAAGUGAGUGAUUUACCAUUCCUGUGCUCCACUCAGUGGCAUCCUCUAUAAAUUCAGCCUCCAAAUAUACUUACUGAAACCCUGCUCUAAGUGCUGAGGAGAUAAUCUGGGUCCUUACCCUUAUGUGAUCACAUGGAAAAACAGAUAUAUGACAGAAGCCAAGAGUAAAGGAUACAGAGUGAAUGAUGGAAAAGAAAGCUAUGGAAAAGAAAGCCCAGAGAGGAAUGUGGACAGAUUCAGUUAUAAAUAAGAUGAUGAAGGGUAGAAUUGUUUUUGAUUGCUGAUAUUUGACAGCAGAAAGUUUGAAGCCAGACCACUGAAAGUGUCCUGGUUCAUUUGGGGACCUAGGUUUCCAGGGAAGAAUGAGGAGAUUCCCUUGGUGGAAACUAGGAGAGUGAGAGUGCUGUAUAGUGAGAGUUAGAGGUGUAGGGAGAGUGAACAGUGUCAUUUCUUAGCAGUGGAUCCUUGUAAAGGCUUAGAUGUGUACGUCUCAUGUGAUGAAGUCCUGUAGGGUUUGAGAAAAGGAUACAUUACCACAAAGCAAUAUCACUGUCCAGAGGGAAAGUUCUAGUCCCUGUGAGGUUCCAGGGCUGCAGGCAGAGCACAUCAACAAUGAAAUCUUGAAGAGGAUACUGGGCUCUCUUCAGUAAUUCAAGGCUCCUUAAAUAUCCUGCGUUUUUUCUUUGUGUGUUCUUUGCAGUGGGAUCCAAAUUUGAAAAGGAAAAAGCCUUCCUCAUUUAUGACUAUUGUACCAUUAUAUUUGCACUAUCCUCAUAUUGAUGAGGCUGAUAAAAAUAGAAAAUUGUAAAAGGCUCUGAUAUCAAAGACAGAGGCCUCCUGUAUGAAAUCAUUUUGUCCCAUGACCUUUUCUCUUCCACCUUCCCUCCCAAGGACAGAGAAAUCUUGCACAAUCUUUUUUUCCAAAGUCUCUGUAUUUCUUUCAUUGCACCUCUUACAAUGGACAGCUAAGUCCCUGCCUUGACUCUGCUGUCACUAAGUUUGCAAUUAAAAUAGCAAGCUCAAAAAAAAAGAGAUGAG